GCUAGUAAUCGCGGAUCAGCAUGCCGCGGUGAAUACGUUCCCGGGCCUUGUACACACCGCCCGUCACACCAUGAGAGUUGGCAACACCCGAAGUCAGUAGGCUAACGCAAGAAGCCGCUGCCGAAGGUGGGGUUGAUGAUUGGGGUGAAGUCGUAACAAGGUAGC
rnacentral:rRNA from 1 species